rnacentral:tRNA from 1 species
GGGAAGGUGGCUCAGUGGUAGAGUGCUUGCUUUGAAUGCAUGAGGCCCUGGGUUUGAUACCUCAGCACCCA